GGCCCUUCCGCAAGCAUUAUCCUGUAACAUAAGAUAUUUCCUUCACGGCCGAGAGAAAUCAUUCCUCUCCUUCACUCUCAUCAUCCUGUCGAGGAACCGACCAGCUUACUUACCAACAAACAAUACGGAAGGAAGCAACAUUUUAUUAUCUCAUGCAUGGCCAAGCAAGGCAGGUAGAAGCAAGCAGAAGUUUGAUAUGUAUCCAUCCAAGCAUCAUCUUCUUUCCAAAGAUUCAGAAAUCUGGAUAGAGAGGCUGCUGGACAGUUUCAUCAUCUCUGAAUCACAGGGUUAAACUGCAAUCACACACGGUUGUGUCUGAAGCAAGUUCAGAGACAGAUCAUAUAACACUGCAUGUCGACAGAAAACAAGAACACAUCACGACACCACAUGCUAUAACAAGAACAAAAGAGUAGCAAUGUGCAAGCCAUAUCAUGAGUUUUGGGGAUAAAUUGAUUUCGGUCUCAGCCAAACGACUUCUGCCAGGCUUCCGAAUUCCGAUCAACCAAAAAGCACUGAAGAUACUGCCAGUACACUAAAAUCAUCCACACAGAAAUAGCUGAUACUUAAACUGAGGUAUCAAGUGAGCUAUUUUCCAACCCAUAAAAGGAUGAAAAGUAUGAAUUGCCGGCUCAGAUAAAUAGCUCAACUAUACUACUUAUCCCAUUUCAGAGAAAUAAAUGCCUUGAUUUAUUUAAAAUUUGCUUAUCAUUGGCUAUCUGCCAAUACAUCAUGAACAGAAAAGCAUACAGGACUGAACUAACUUGCAAUCAUUCGUUUAAUAUAUAUCCAGUAGGUUCCAUGCAAAGGUUAAUUAGUUGAGUGCAUUUUUCAUUGCUUUCCAAACUUUUACUGUAGAUAUUUCUGCUCCUUUAAUUUUGAUUCUAUACAAAAACUUUCCACAACAAAUCUUAGUUGAUUAUUGACACCGGACACAAUAGCACACUACAGCACUGGUAUCAUAAAAGUAGUACAGAACAAUUUCCACACCUGACUAGUGGAAAAAGAGAGUAGAAAACUAGCGGACAAAAUUAGACAACAUUAGGUGGGUAAAAAACCAGCAUACAUAGACGAAGGAGCCUUCUGUUUUCUACCAAAUCAUGCCAUAGAUUUGGACCAGACAGUUACUAAGUAUUAACUGCCCAUAGUUUUUAGUAGUUAUGAUCAUUAAGAAGAAUAGAAGCAGACUCCUAUUGACAGAAUGUAAACACAAUUCGGUGAUCAGUUUAAAUUUUGUAAACCCAUGGCUAUUUCAUUUAUAAGAUAUUCUAUAAUCAAUCUGAGUGGAUUUUCGUAAGUGUUAUGCUUGAUUAAGUUGUGAUGCUUGAUGUCCUGGACAAGCUCACAAUGCUAUUCUAGUUAGAGUAGCAUCCUUAAUGUUUUACAUGUUAAACCCAUUCAUAUACUUGAAAACACAAUUGAUUGAUAUAUCAUAAACUGAAUCAAGAAAAACCUAAAAUAUUUCAACAAUAUAAUAAACACUAAGACACAUUAUGAAUGUACUACCUUUGAGAGUAUUAUGGAUACACAGAAUCAGUCACUAUUUGUCACAAAAAAAAGUAUUCAGAAUUGUCUCAGACAGUACCAUCAAACCCAGAAUUGUUCACAACUUAUCAAAACAAGAAAUUCCCUCAUAUACUGUGAGAAUCCACAAAUAUUUGGAAAUGCAUAUAUGUGAUUUAAACAAAUUCUAGUACCAUAUAUAAUAUUUCCUUCCUAGUCGCUAUCUAGUUUUUUUAGGGUUGUGCCUAGGUGUGGUGGAAUGCCAUGUUAUCAUUCAGUCAAUUCCACAAACUCUCUCUUGUGGGCACUCCUCGCUUUCCUCUCAAACGUAUCUCUCACAUUCUCAAUAUAUCUUGGACCAUCCAAAUGUGAUUGCUAAUAUAAACCACAACUGAUACAUUGCAUCUAGAGGUCAGAAGGUUCUGAUUUUGAUGAAAUUCAUGAAGGAUUAAGUAGGAACAAAUGACCAGACGUAUGUUAAAAGCGUAGAAAGAUAUUUUCUGAAGAGCUGGGAAGGCUAAAAGGGCAUAUUCAUGAUUCAGAGGGAGCAACCGAUGUUCUAAAAUGCAGAAAGUGAGUGUCGCCUACUGUCUAGUCUACUCAUACUACCACACAGAAGCUGCAUUUUAUACUAGUGGUGGGACCAGUUUGCAUAAGGAAGCGGCGGCUUAUGGUUUGAACUUUUGGCCAAAUUUAAUUUUUCUGCAAUUUGGUGAAUGGAAGAGGUUUUCACGACAAGCUACAAUAGGUUACUGUACUUUGCAAACCGAUGCCCCAACCAAUGUGGUGGUUAUGAUUUUUUGCAACCUAUUUAGAGUCUAGAUUGACAAGAGACUUCAGGAAUGUAAAUUAUGAAUUAACAAGAAAAGAGUUGCAAACCAACAGAUAUUAUUUACUAAUGUGGGGGAAUGUCCGGAAUCUCCUACUCAUUGUUGAAGCACUCUAAAGUAUUUCUCCUCUCAUUUCCUCACAACAAUACAAGCGCUCAAACCCAAGGCAGACCUUCUUCUCUUUGAAUAAGUGCACUCAAGACUUCAAGCAAGUGCAUCGAAGCAAGGGCAUGCAUCUUUCUUGGCAAUCCUUCCUUGGUUAAGGUCACCAGGGGUCUCACGUCUAAGAACCAUGUAGGUAUUGACAAGACUUCAACAUUAAUAAACCCAUGACAUUUGUUUCAGAAACCAAGGUAAGAUAGUGUAGUUUGAUGCACCAAUAGUUCCUCCUAAUCGCUUUAGUCAACUAUUAAAUGUGAGGAAAAUCUAGAAGCGUGUGAAAAUAUCACUAAUCUCCCUUGUGUAAUCAUGACCUGUGGAGUUAUAAUUGUAACUUAGCGAAUUAGCACCCUCUGUGAAACUAAUCAUGACAACUUUGUUUUGGAAAAUAUCACAUGUAAAUCAUCCAACCCCAAAUGAGGAUAAAUAGUCAAUUGAAAAUAUCACACGCACAUCACCCCAAUGUUUAGGAUGGCCAAUGAUUAUUAUUCUAAAGAUAUAUUGUUUCUAAAGCAUGAGAAUAUCAAGGUCAAAGGUUAGUAGCUUGGUAAUCAUACAAGAAACGGGGGAAUGGAUCACUAGAAGCUAGGGUGUCUUUAUAUUGACAAUGAACAUUCAUUGCCACAAUGUUUAAGAUGGUCAAUGAUUAUUGAUCUAAGUAAACAUUUUCCAAGUGUGAUGCACUUUAGGACUACCUACAAUGAUGCUUGUAGCGGGUGGAAGCCCAUGGAAAAGGAUUAAGAUAGUGGCAAAUUAAAGUUGUUGUUUCAUGAGUAAACAAAAGUUCAUAAAUUCAAAGAGUACCGAAUGAUGAUCCUAGUGGUCUAGACAAUAGGUUGUAUCAUUGAUCUAACAAAGGAUGAGAAGAUAAGGUGUUAGGGCUAGAUGAUCACAAUUGAUCAGGAGUAAGUAGUGUUAAACAAUCAAGAUAGAGGUGUUCUCUUCCCAAUCCCAAUAUAGGUUGAAUGGUCCUAACUAGCUAGAUGAUUGGGCCAAAGAGAGAAUCCAUUAAUGCAUAUAUGAGAUGAUCCAGGCUAAAUCUAAUGACUAUAUAUUAACUAGGUGGAUGAUCCGAUCAAUGACCUAAUUUGUUCGGUUAGUAACAGUUUGUUGGUAAAAUAUCCAUCAAUUCGUCUCUAGAGUGAAGGCCAUAUAUGGAAGCUUGUAUGCCUCCGAUGACUGAUUAAGCCAAUUUCUUAUUGUGCCAAGCUUCAAAAAGCUCAAUAGCUCUUGGUAUUUCAAGAUCAUUCCGGUGCUCAGAUAUUAGGUGAUUAGAGAUUAGGCCUAGUAACGGAACAUAUACAUAAGUUUUUUUUAACUCUUGUUGUCUUGAGCAUAAGUUGGAGCUAUAUUACUUUAUUAUUUUAGAAAUGCUUGAGUUCAUUGGUGAUCUUUCAUGUAGAUACUUGUUGAAAUCUCGAGAAGUGUGAUGGUUGAGACCACACCUGUCUUAGGGGGCAGUUGGUCGAUUGUCCAAUGUCAUAAGAAAUCGAUGACGAAUCCCCUUGGAGUUUGUAACUCUUUCUAUUUGCAUUCAAAACUUGCUUAGAGUUGCCUUAUAGUGCUAGGACUCGAACCUCUUGCAAAAUUCUCCUUGUUAUUGUUACAUGAGGCAUAUCUUAUCUAAAACAAAUUUCAACACCAUGACGGCAAUUUAGUGUUUUAAUAAACCGAAUUAACUCCAUCUUAGGCAUGCUAGGCUAACUUGACUCAGAUGGACCAGCAUUCCUUAUUAUGGCUUUACGUCACAUAUUACCUUCUGUUUGAUAUGCGGCAUCGAACCUUGCUAAUGCACAUGGGAUGGCUUAAAUCUUUCAGUAAUACUUUGCACUUUUCUGAUAUCAGAUCAAUUGGAUCGAACCACAUGAUCCCAAAGUGUUCAUCUAUUUGUUGACCAAAGAGUGUUGUGCCAUCGUGUCUCGCGUUAAGCAUGACGAAGGACUACUUGAAAAGGCGCUACCACCCCCACAAUCAUCUCUAGAGACCUCGUAGAGCUAUAGCCACCUCUACCUAUAAAGGGGCAUCUCCUUAAAUUCUAGUGUUUAUCAGGCCAAGUGUCUCAAACCCCAGUUGUGGUGACCUCCCUUGAUGAAUCUUGUGGGGUUCAAAUUUUUCACAUUCCCCCAAUUUCUUUGACCCAACCAUUAAACCUAAGUCACUGUUUGUUCUAUUCUUAACCAUUCAUGGUCAUGUUCUUGUUGCUGGUAGCAAAGGUUAUGGUGAUGGAUGUAAUCUUGUUCAUCGUUGUUCAUGAUUGGAUCUGUAUUUCCUUUUGUUGUCGUGGAAGUAUAAAGGCUUUAAUAAUUUUUGUGAUGGCAAUACGCCAUGGUUGAAAUAGGUGUGAACACUUUGUUUUGAGCGCUUGAGUUUUGUUGCGACAAUAUGACAUAAGAUAGACAAUUACUGAGUCAAUAUGGUAAAGAAUACAACAAGGAGAACCUGAUGUUAGAGGAGACUUACGGCAAAGAAAAGCUAAAGAGAUGAACUAUCCCGCAAGGGUACUAACAAAGCUAUGUAGUCAAGCAUCAAUUUUCUAUAUGUACUAAUAUGUAUAGAUGAUAGUCAAUCUCCAAUUUUCUCUAGUAAGACUGCCGACAUUGACCACUUCAAGCUUCAUCAUCGAUAUUUUUCAAUUUAGUCGCCGCUACAUACCUCAACACUCCCUUACAUGACUUCGCCACUCCAUUUUUGUGUCUAAUGUUGAUAGUCCUCAAAAAAUCCACUUAGAGGGAUUUUGAUGUUUUUUGUGAGCUUUUCAUUAGCCAUGGUAGAUGUUAUAAUUGUCUGUUACAUCUUAGGUAUCCUGGAGGCAAUCUAUGUACUUAAACCUUGUGUUAGUUGUGUCUUGUCUUGUGCAUGAUUUAUUAAGCCAACAUUCACAACCAUUUAAAAUUCUUGAGUACAUUUACUUAUCAAUUUGAUAGUUUUUUUUCAUUUGAUACAUCAUAUAUCUUCCUCUAGAUUUUCCGAUGUGAUCAUAUUAAGUGCUAUGUCCUAGUGCUCCUAUCCCCAUGGAACACUUCGUGCACAUCUUGUCCAUUCCAUGUCUUGGACGAUUUACUUAAAUUCUUCAUGAUACUUAGAUGCAUCACAUAUUCAUACCCUACAACUAGCCAAAUAAAUCAUGAUACUUUUGGUGGGAAGUGAUAGCCAAAUCAUUGACACCAAAUGUUGGCAAAACAUAUGAUAAGUUCCAUGUUGAUGUAUGUUUGAUAUAAAUGUCAACUAAAUGAUUUCUUGAUGUAUGAUCCAAGACCAGGGUCCAAUGUUCAGAAGUAUAAUUAGCCAUGCACGAGUCAAUGAAGAAUUUCUUUACUUAUGUUGUUAAGAGUUUAUUAAUUUUCCUUGGUAUAUCUUAUCCUACUCUCGCUAUUCAUGUAGUCAUUGAUUAUGUAUGUUACAUAUUUAUACCCGAACACGUGUGUUUGACUGUAUCCUGUGGUGUAAAUGACAUGCAACUAAUCAUUAUUUAUUUAUACUUGACUGGGUUUUCAGUAGUCACCAAAGAAAUAGGGAAAAUAUGUAGGAUCCUCACUCAUAUUUAGUAGUUAAUGAUAAAAAAAACAUCAAGACUAACAAGUUGGGAAAACAUGUGUGAAGUUUUUAGUCUUGAUGAUAUAUAUGUUUGAUGUCAAAGUCACCUCAAUGAAUUUGUGAAGUAUGAGCCAAGAAAAAGGUAUGCACGAUAUAUAUAUUGAGAAGUUAGUAGCCAUAGAGAUCCUAGCCGUUCGAGACGAUGUUUUAUAUUUGAACGCGGUCUCUUAUAUGCAAUUUCUAUUGUUAUUUUCAUAUGAAUAUACUAGUGAACUUCUAUGAAAAAUGUGAUUAUAAAAGUGUUUUUUAUAACAAAUCUGGUCAUAUUAGUUUCACAUCGCCAAGCUAAAAAUAUUUUUUGCACAAAAAAAUUACGAAACUAGGGAAGUUCGACACAUGUUUCAGAAUGACAUCUAUUUAUGAAUGUAGGGAGUAUUUAUCUAGGGUGUUUUUAGUCUUUACAUGGAUGCAUGGUUGUAUCAUUCAAGCGGUCGACAACACAUGGACAUUGUUGAAGAUAAAUGGAAUUGAAGUUUUUGAUGUUGUAGAGAGCAAGAUGAUUCAGUUGACAAACAUAGGUGGAUGAUUGAUCCUUGAAGGUUAUGACAGAUGAAGAAUGAGGACGCCCAAAUGGUCGAAGGGGAUUAUUUGGGGGGAAAUCAAGUGGAUGAUAUGGCUUGGUCGAUGAUUUGAUUUGGGCUAUGUAGCUUAUCUUAGCUCCAAUGGAUAGAUCAUAUCCAAAGUAUUUGCAUUGGCUAAAUAUAUAUGCUAAAACAAUGUUUAAAGAGCAAUCUAUUGAGUUAAAGAUACAUAUCA